CGGAUCCCUCAACAUUCUUCAAAGGGUGUGUGCGUUAGUGUUGGAGAGCUUACCACCUCCUCUUGUAUUUAAACCCACACAAACUGUGUGAUCCUCACUCCGUGGAAUCCCUUUUUUGAAUACAGGUACUUCCUCCAGUGAGACUGCCUUACCCUCUGACAGUUAUGGGUUUAACUUCCCUGGAAGGAGCUUUGGCUCACAUGAUGAUUGUCUACAGUUCAUAUAAAGGGGACAAUGGUAAAUUGUCCAAAGAAGACUUCGGGAAAUUGUUGAGAACGGAAAUGCCUCUAUUUACCAAGGGCCCUAACCCAGAUGAGCUUUUCCAACAUGUGGACGGAAACAGCGAUGGGAGUGUGGACUUCAAAGAGUUUGCUAUGAUGAUUGCUUUGUUUGCUUGUAUGCACCAUGAAGCCCUUGAAGAGGCGAUGAAAUCUGUGAAAUAGUAAUAAUCUGCCAUGAAUCUGUAAAACACUAGAGAAAGGAAGCAAACGUGUGGUCUGACCUAUGUGGUUUUACAAUGCAGUAAUUAAAGGAUUUCUGUUACAACCUU